CACGGUGGUCAAACUUUAAUAGUCUGACCAACACCUGUACAUGUAAAGUGUGUAUAGAUACUUGCGCUGUGUAUCGUGUAUAAUGUUUGUACAAGUCCCUGUGUCAUAUAAUGUCCUAUGUACCUGUGUAUAUAGUUGUUAUGGUGACGUAUGAGAGGUGAGCGCAAGGAUUGGUUGAGUGUGUCACUUUGACCCUGCAUGACCCUAUACCCGUGCACGUGGAAAACCUUACCUGGGCCUUGCCCAGGUGAGUGCAGCCACAACGGCUAUAGACCCCACACAAGCCACACGUCCGGUAUAAGCCUGUGUGCUUUAUGGCCACAGUGCUUCUAGGUCACUGUCUCCGUGUGUGUCUGUUUUUAUGUCCAAUAAACUGUUUUAAAUGUUAAA